rnacentral:pre_miRNA from 1 species
UACUCAGAAAGGUGGUCAUCACAUAGACUCACUUGUAGUGACUGCAAGCCUGAGUAGA